UCUCCGUAGGUGAACCUGCGGAGGGAUCAUUAAGAAUUGAACAGCAGUGUCUGGCACUGUUGCCCAUUCUAACCCUUUGUGAACCAAACUUGUUGCUUCGGGGGCGACCCUGCCGCUUCGGCGGUGCGGCGCCCCCGGAGGCCAUUAAACACUGCAUCAUUGCGUCGGAGUUAAAGUAAAUUAAACAAAACUUUCAACAACGGAUCUCUUGGUUCCAGCAUCGAUGAAGAACGCAGC
rnacentral:misc_RNA from 1 species